GGCUAGGAAUCCUUUGGUUAGAUAGAUGUUUUGUAAAUAGAUGUACAUGUAUAGGAAAAUGAAAAUUUAAAAUAUCAUUUACAAUAGCAUUAAAAAAGCUAGCUAUCUAUGGAGUUCCCAUUGUGGCACAGGGGAAACAAAUAUGACUAGUAUCCAUGAGGAUGCAGGUUCUAUCCCAGGCCCCGCUCAGUGGGUUAAAGAUCUGGCAUUGCCAUGAGCUGUGGUGAAGGUUGCAGAUGUGGCUUGGAUUCCUUGUUACUGUGAUGUGGUAUAGGCAGGUAAGUAUAGCUCUGAUUUGACUCUUUGUCUGGGCACUUCCAUAUGCCUUGGGUGUGGCCUUAAAAAGCAAAAAUAAAUAAAUAAACAACAAACCCACCAACCAGUGAUCUAAGUCCUAGACAAGAUCCUAGACAUCUUUUUUUGGAAGAAAUUCAUAAAUUGAUUCUAAAAUGUGUGUGAAAACACAAAGGUUCUAGAAUAGCCAAAACAAACAAACAAACAAAAACACAACUUCAAAACAAAAGGGAAGUCAGGGAACUUAAACACUGCUUAAACUAAGUGUAAAGCUACAGUUAAGCUACAGUGAUCAAAACUAUUUGGCCUUAAUGUAAAGGUAGGAAAAUAGGAUCAGUGAAACAGAAGUGAAACUACACCAGUGCUGUCAGUUGAUUUCUGCCCAGAGGGCCGCGUUAGUUUUCCUUUUCCCAAUAAGAAAAAGGAAAGUCUCUUGAACCAAUGCUUCUGGAUCAGCUAGAUAUUCAAGUGGAAACAGAAUGAGCUGUGACCUCAUUCCAUAAACACUAAAUUGGGAUGGAUCAUAAACCUUAAAUGUAAAAAUGAAAAAAGAAGUUCCCGUCAUGGCACAGUGGAAACAAAUCCGACUAGCAUCCAUGAGGAUGUGGGUUCAAUCCCUGGCCUCGCUCGUUGGGUCAGGGAUGUGGCAUUGCCAUGAGCCGUGAUGUAGGUUGCAGGUGUGUCUCAGAUCUGGCAUUGCUCUGGUUGUGGUGUGGGCCAGCAGCUGUAUCUCCGAUUCCAUCCCUAGCCUGGGAAUCUCCAUAUGCUGCAAGCGAGGCCCUAAAAAGCUAAAUAAAUAAAUAAAUAAAUAAGAGCUACAAGCAUAAAGCUUCUGUAAGAAAAGACAGAGGCAGUCCUGGGGUAGGUAAAUAUUUUGUAUUUACCCAAAAAGCUCUAACUACAAAAGAAAAAGAUAAAUUAAGAAAAUGAACAGCUAAGCUGCAGACUAAGAGUAAAUAAUUCAGAUUACAUGUUCUUAAAUGUUUUAGUUUUCCCAAAAGAACAUUUCAUUCAGGUCUAUGGCAUGCUGUUAAAAUGCUUUAAUUUUAUUAAUUAAGAAUAAUUUGUGGGAGUUCCCAUCGUGGCGCACCAAUGAUCAGGUGUGGAGGGAAUGCAGUCUCAGUUUGGACGCAUGUGAAGCCAGGGACCAUGUUGUGUCUUUGUCUCAGGGCCACCCUUGAUGGUGGCUGCUUUUGGCUGCCCCCUGGUGGCUGUGCUCGGCCUCAGCUGUCUUCCCUGCCUUAUGUGCCCUGCCAGCUACUUGGCAGUGGAGAGUCAGAAGGGCCAGAGAGUAUCAUGGAAUCAAACAUUGAAGCAUUGCUGCCACAGUCUUUUUCCCCUUUCUCAAGGCUGACAAAGAGGACGUCUGCUUCUGAACAGCUCCAGGUGUGCCUUUUGGAAGCUUCCUUCCCCAGGGAUCCCUCACUCAGAGCUCUGAUGAGGAGCAAGUGUGUGAGGGCUCAGGCAGACUCCUCAGUCAGAAGUCCUCUCUGGGAUGUAGGAUGCUGUGCUGUCCUUCUCAUGGUCCUUGGGGUCUCCUGAAGUUUUAGACUGUUCCUAAGGCUCCAUCCCUUGUUUGCUUUUUUUUUUUUUUUUU
rnacentral:lncRNA from 1 species